rnacentral:rRNA from 1 species
AGCCCUAUGCCCUUCACUGGGUGUAGUGGGGAACCAGGACUUUUACUGUGAAAAAAUUAGAGUGUUCAAAGCAGGCCUAUGCUCGAAUACAUCAGCAUGGAAUAAUAGAAUAGGACGUGUGGUUCUAUUUUGUUGGUUUCUAGGACCGCCGUAAUGAUUAAUAGGGACAGUCGGGGGCAUCAGUAUUCAAUUGUCAGAGGUGAAAUUCUUGGAUUUAUUGAAGACUAACUACUGCGAAAGCAUUUGCCAAGGAUGUUUUCAUUAAUCAGGAACGAAAGUUAGGGGAUCGAAGACGAUCAGAUACCGUCGUAGUCUUAACCAUAAACUAUGCCGACUAGGGAUCGGACGAUGUUAUUUUUUGACUCGUUCGGCACCUUACGAGAA